rnacentral:misc_RNA from 1 species
AUACUUUAUAUGUAAGUGCCUUUGUAUGUUUUCAGGCUCUUGGCUCACAGUGAUGAGGUGGGUAUUGAUGAACCUAUGGACCAAGAUGACUCAAAAAAUCAAAAAGUACAAGUGGUUGGCCAAGGAGACAACAGAAGCCUGUCUUUGUUGGACCAAAAUAAAAUAUCUGAUGCAGAACAAGAAUUGGCAAACUUGGACACAGAAGAAACUAAAAUUGAUAACGAGAAAGGAGAGGAAAGUAAUGAAGUGGAGCAGCCAAAAUCCCUCCAGUGUGAUGAAUGUGGUAAGAAGUUUAAAUCUGAAACUGAAGUUGAGUUUCAUGCAGUUAAAUCUGGACACCAGAGUUUCUCAGAAUCAACAGAAGAAAUCCAACCUUUAACAGAAGACGACAAACGAGAGCAGUUAAGAAAGUUAGAAGAGAGAAUCAAACAGAGAAGAUUAGAAAGGGAGGAACUUGAAAAGAAAAGUGCUAUUGAAAGAGAAAAACAGAGGAGGAAAACAGGCCAAGAACUAACUCUUGCAAAACAGAAGAUGGAAGAAGAAGAAAUAAAAAGGCUAGCCGAGCAGAAACGAAAAGAAAAAUUAGAAGAGAAAAUGGCCAGACAGAGGGUGUUGGAAGAAAUAGAGAGAGAUAAACAAGCUCGAAAAGAGAAGUUUAAUAUAGGACCUCCAGCAGUGGCAGCUCCCUCCCCACCAUCACAACCUGUUCAGGAGGUUUCUAUACCAAAAGGAGUACGAUAGUUGUAGGUUACAGAUCCGUUUGACAAAUGGCCAGACGUUAACUAAUAGUUUUGGUGCUAGUGAAGCAUUGGCUGCAGUUCGAUUGUACAUAGAACUUAACAGAACAGACGGAGGUCUCCCCUUCUCUUUGAUGACCACCUUCCCUCGAAAAGUCUUUACUGAAGAAGAUAUGCAGAAACCUUUGAAAGCUCUAGGGUUGGUUCCAUCAGCUGUUCUUACAGUGACCAAACCUCAGUAAGCAACGAUACACACCUUACAAAGUUAUUAGGUAUCACAAAUAGUUUGACUGUAUGAAGUAAUAUGAGUUUCAAAAAAUCCAGUUUCCUCUUUUAUAACCGAUUGCUGUAAAAUUUUACAAAAUAAGAAGUGCUUACUAGUUAGAAAUGACAUCUCCGUGGAGACACCGAGCUUCUUCUGCAAUUGAAAAAUAUGCAAAGUGAUGAUUUUCUUCUUCCAGUUGAAUUACGAAUAAAUUAAAGCACAAAUAUCUUAGUAAGGUACCUCAAUUUAUAUAUAUAUUAAACAUUGUGCAUUCGUUACAGGAUGUUAUUUCCAUUUUUAAGUUACAUAAUGCUGAAAUAAAACUUGUUAUUGUUUUGAUACAAAUUACUUUUUUGUUCAUUGUCUUUUAGUGUAUUGUUUUAAACGAAAGAAAAGUGGUUAAACAAGUUUAGUUAGUAAAAAAACGAUUCUCAAAAUGAAGAAAGAAGGUUACUUUUAUUUUUCUAAUAUAGUGU